rnacentral:lncRNA from 1 species
CAUGCUCGCUAGGAUAUCGCAUCCUAUGCAUACGUAUCUCCUUUGGACGAAGGAGAAUCAGAGCAUCCGUAGCUCGGCUAACACGCACACAAACAAACACAGGCAAAGGCAAACAUGGAGCCUGAACGCCAAUCACUGGACUUACAUCAGCAUCCGAACCAAAACACACACAAGAAGGCAAACAUGGAGCCUGAAUGCCAAUCACUGGACUUACAUCAGCAUC